rnacentral:lncRNA from 1 species
CUUUCUCGUCCAACCUCUUCCCAACCAUUCAUCGGCUACCACCACCACUUUUUACAAUGAAACACUCCUCUACCUCACUGCUAUCCAUAUCAACAAUAAUGUACUGAAAGAGUAUGUUCAAGAUACCCUCUCCAGCACUUUCUUCUUGGCCACCACCAAUAAAUGCUAUCUUGUGAUCUACUCUGCCACCACCUAACCAUCAAAGAUUACAGUGACCCU